GACGUAGGGUGCGAGCGUUGUCCGGAUUUAUUGGGCGUAAAGAGCUCGUAGGCGGCUCGUCGCGUCGACCGUGAAAACCCGCGGCUUAACUGCGGGCUUGCGGUUGAUACGGGCGGGCUAGAGUUCGGUAGGGGAGACUGGAAUUCCUGGUGUAGCGGUGAAAUGCGCAGAGAUCGGCAGGAAGACCAAGGGGGAAGCCAGGGGACUGGCCCGCGGCUGACGCUCAGGUGCGAGAGCGUGGGGAGCGAACCGG
rnacentral:rRNA from 1 species